rnacentral:rRNA from 1 species
GACGAACGCUGGCGGCGUGCUUAACACAUGCAAGUCGAGCGGUAAGGCCCUUUCGGGGGUACACGGGCGGCGAACGGGUGAGUAACACGUGGGUGACCUGCCCUCAGCUCUGGGAUAAGCCUGGGAAACCGGGUCUAAUACUGGAUAUGACUCCAUGACGCAUGUUGUGGGGUGGAAAGCCUUGUGCGGCUGAGGAUGGGCCCGCGGCCUAUCAGCUUGUUGGUGGGGUGAUGGCCUACCAAGGCGACGACGGGUAGCCGGCCUGAGAGGGCGACCGGCCACACUGGGACUGAGACACGGCCCAGACUCCUACGGGAGGCAGCAGU